AACGAACGCUGGCGGCAGGCCUAAAACAUGCAAGUCGAACGAGAAGCUAGCUUCGGUUAGUGGACAGUGGCGGACGGGUGCGUAACACGUGGGAAUGUACCCCAAGGUAAGGAACAACACAUCGAAAGAUGUGCUAAUACCUUAUAAUAUCUUAGGAUCAAAGAUUUUAUCGCCUUGGGAUCAGCCCGCGGCUGAUUAGGUAGUUGGUAGAGUAAAAGCCUACCAAGCCGACGAUCAGUAGCUGGUCUGAGAGGAUGAUCAGCCACACUGGGACUGAGACACGGCCCAG
rnacentral:rRNA from 1 species